CCUCCACCAUUCGAAAGAUCCCUCCAGGAAAGAUUUUUCUUCCCUCCUCCGACGCCCCAGCCCACCAACACACUCUAUAAAGCAGCCCUCAGUCACACACAGAACGCACAAGCGCAAGCCGGGCAAGAAAACUCCGCAGGCCAGUCUGCGAGUUGGAUGGCCUUCUUCUUGGCCCUCGUGUGCAUCCUCAUCUUGCUAGCCAUCGCCUCCUACGUCCAGUACACUCGCUGGCAAAAGGGGAAAGGCCGCUUCGGCGGCCAUGGGAGGUCUGCUCCCUUGAAGCUGCCUCCUGGCUCCAUGGGCUGGCCUUACCUUGGCGAGACCCUCCAGCUUUACUCCCAGGACCCCAGCUUCUUCUUCGCUUCCAAACAGAAGAGGUACGGCGAGAUCUUCAAGACGCACCUUCUGGGUUGCCCGUGCGUGAUGCUGGCGAGCCCGGAGGCGGCGCGGUUCGUGCUGGUGACGCAGGCGCACCUGUUCAAGCCGACCUACCCGCGGAGCAAGGAGCGCAUGAUCGGGCCGUCGGCUCUCUUCUUCCACCAGGGCGACUACCACCUCCGCCUCCGCAAGCUCGUCCAGGGCGCGCUCGGCCCCGACGCGCUGCGCGCGCUCGUUCCUGAGGUGGAGGCCGCCGUGCGGUCCACUCUCGCUUCCUGGGACGCCGGCCACGUCAGAAGCACGUUCCACGCCAUGAAGACGCUGUCGUUUGAUGUGGGCAUCGUGACGAUCUUCGGCGGCCGGCUGGACGAGCGGCGCAAGGCGGAGCUGAGGAAGAAUUACUCCGUCGUGGAGAAGGGGUACAACUCCUUCCCCAACAGCCUGCCGGGGACGCUCCAUUACAAGGCGAUGCAGGCGCGGCGGCGGCUGCACGGCGUGCUGUGCGACAUCAUGCGGGAGCGUCGUGGCCAGGCCCAGGCGGCGGGCACCGGCCUGCUGGGCUGCCUGAUGCGGUCCCGGGGCGACGACGGCGCGCCGCUCCUGAGCGACGAGCAGAUCGCCGACAACGUCAUCGGCGUGCUGUUCGCGGCGCAGGACACGACGGCCAGCGCGCUCACCUGGAUCGUCAAGUACCUCCACGACCACCCCAAGCUGCUCGAGGCCGUCCGGGCGGAGCAGGCGGCGGUCCGCGAGGCCACCGGCGGCGGGAGGCAGCCGCUGGCGUGGGCGCACACGAAGAGCAUGGCGCUAACGCAUAGGGUGAUUUUGGAGAGCUUAAGGAUGGCGAGCAUCAUCUCGUUCACGUUCAGGGAGGCCGUGGCCGACGUGGAGUACAAAGGGUUCCUUAUCCCCAAGGGGUGGAAGGUGAUGCCGCUCUUCAGGAACAUCCACCACAGCCCGGACUACUUCCAGGAUCCACACAAGUUCGACCCUUCUAGAUUCCAGGUGGCGCCGCGUCCGAGCACGUUCCUGCCGUUUGGGCACGGCGUGCACGCGUGCCCCGGGAACGAGCUGGCCAAGCUCGAGAUGCUCGUCCUCAUCCACCACCUGGUCACCGGCUACAGGUGCGUCCAUCUCCUCUCAGAUCCUCUCCAUAUAUUCCCGCUUGUCCUAUAGCUUGUGGACCAGGAUGACACAUGGCUGGCUGCUGCCGCUCUCCAUGGGGCUCCGGCUCUGAUCUCUCUCCGUGCAUGCUCCAAAUCUCCUCCUGUCUGUGGCAAAUCGUUGGAUCCAGUGACGAGGUCGAGUACAGCCCGUUCCCUGUGCCCAAGCACGGCUUGCCUGUCAGAUUAUGGAGACAAAACAAUCCGGUCGACAGAAAGGGGCGUGAGACCGACGACGAUCAUGUGGAGAGGAUAUUUAUUUAGUUUGACUCUUGAGUUAGGCAUGAAUUUAACCCCAAGCUAGCUAGAGAAGUUUUUUUUCCCCUUUGAAAUUCUUCUUUGCUCGCCUCUUCCUCCUGGAUCAAAUUGCGUUGGAGGAGAAGAAACGGCAGCUUUCUCUCUUUCGUUUUCUUUGCCUGCUUCACCGCUACGAUAAUGGUGAAAAUAUGUAAGCUACGUGGACAUCAAUGAUCCACAGCAUCGUUGAUAUAUAUAAUAUAUAGAGAAAAUUCUCUGCACGAUCAAUGCAAUUUUA